rnacentral:rRNA from 1 species
AUUGAACGCUGGCGGCGUGCCUAACACAUGCAAGUCGAGCGGUAACAGGUGUAGCAAUACAUGCUGACGAGCGGCGAACGGGUGAGUAAUGCUUCGGAAUCUACCCAAUGGUGGGGAAUAACCAGCCGAAAGGUUGGCUAAUACCGCAUACGUCCCACGGGAGAAAGCAGGGGAUCGCAAGACCUUGCGCCAAUGGAUGAGCCGAAGUCGGAUUAGCUAGUUGGAGGGUAACGGCCUACCAAGGCGACGAUCCGUAGCUGGUCUGAGAGGACGACCAGCCACACUGGGACUGAGACACGGCCCAGACUCCUACGGGAGGCAGCAGUGGGGAAUAUUGGACAAUGGGGGAAACCCUGAUCCAGCGACGCCGCGUGUGUGAAGAAGGCCUGCGGGGUUGUAAAGCAC